rnacentral:rRNA from 1 species
GUAGGUGGCAAGCGUUGUCCGGAAUUAUUGGGCGUAAAGCGCGCGCAGGCGGUUCUUUAAGUCUGAUGUGAAAGCCCACGGCUCAACCGUGGAGGGUCAUUGGAAACUGGAGAACUUGAGUACAGAAGAGGAAAGCGGAAUUCCACGUGUAGCGGUGAAAUGCGUAGAGAUGUGGAGGAACACCAGUGGCGAAGGCGGCUUUCUGGUCUGUAACUGACGCUGAGGCGCGAAAGCGUGGGGAGCAAACAGGAUUAGAUACCCUGGUAGUCCACGCCGUAAACGAUGAGUGCUAAGUGUUAGGGGGUUUUCCGCCCCCCUUAGUGCUGCAGCUAACGCAUUAAGCACUCCGCCUGGGAGUACGACCGCAAGGUUG